CAGCAAAUUAGGUGACACUUUCAGUCCUUUCAUGUAAAAUUCAAGCAAAUUUUAAGCUGUGAGAAAACGCACUGCAUGUAUAAAAUGAGUAGUCAAGGGAUGCAGGCAUUACAUUCAGCCUUAAAUGAUAAAGUGUCUAUUUUUACAUAGCUGCAGUCCCGAUAAUUACUAUAUGGGACUGGAGGGCUAAGCAAUUGGAACAACCACAUACAAAUGCCAAAGUAAUAAAUAUGCAAAAAUGUGAAAUGUAAAUGUAAUAUGUUAAGCAAAGUAACUGUAUAUGGCUAUUUGGCUGCAAUUUUAUUAAAUAAACAAAUGCUAAAGUAAUAUAACAAGACAUACAUAUAAAAAUAAUAACAGUACAUUUCUUCAUCCUCUGUAUGCAGGGGUUAACACAUAUUUGAUUAGGUACAGGCACAGGAAAUUUAAAAUUUGUACUUGAAGUUAACUGUCACCAAAUACUGCCCAACAUCAUGCACAAUGUAUCUGAAACGUUGUUAAGGAAGAAAACAAGAAUUUUUAAUAACAAUUCAAAUCAUAACUAUAGUACAUAUCUUUGUAACACAUUGCUGGAAAUGACAGUUCACCUGUGCAUUAACAGUAUUGAUUUACUACUAACUCAUUUUUAAGUUUGUUUCAAACCAUAUAAGUCAUUUUUCAAAUGAUGGGCUGAGGACAAAUAUUGCAGCAGAGAUGACACCAAAAACUAUUCUUCAGAAUACGUCUUUCUUUCCAUAGAGGCUUAUCAGUUGUCAUGCACCCUCCUGACAGAAGUGCCUGUUGGGUUAGGACACAAACCUACAUGCUAGGAUAGAAACUCCAAUUGAAUUUGGAAAUUUGUGAUAGAUACUGACAGACUGAAGCAGCAAUGUGGAUAAUGACGUGUGCUUGAGAAGGCUGUGAAGUAAGAGGUUCAUCCAUAAAAUGGUUGUGGGGCUCCUUCAUAACAAAUGGAAAUGGAGUAACAAAUCUUUUGAGAUAGAUGGCUAGAAAUGCUUUUUGACAUCAGUAUGCAUCACACAUUUCAUAACUAAUUUCUUUAUGAAUUUUAUUUUCUUUAUGUGCAGUCUUCAUCUGGCACAUAAGCUGCCUGGCCAUUAUUUCCCUAAAUUGGCAUGGAUUGUUAUGUGCUGCAUGCUACAGUCAAGACUCUGGCACUAUAAAACAUGCACUCAUAUCCUGAUAAGCCUGGUAAACUGAACAUCAAAACGUAGACAGAGAUAAUAAUUCAAUCUUAAUAACUAAGGACAUCAUAUCAGCAAGUGGAGAUGUCAAAGCAUUGUACAGGAAAGGUGCCAUGCGGGCUACACAUUGGAAUAACCUCAAAAAGGGCGUGACCUGCCCUGAGACAAAGCUAAAAAGAUAUUUUAGCCACCAGCAGAGGAUCUUCAAGGCGAAUAAAAUGAUGCAGCUGGUCCUGAAGGAUGUAGAAAUAGAAUUUCUGCAUCUUCUUCAUCAUUGAAUAUUGUUUUUACCAGUCCAAAGUACCAGUUACCAUCAUAAUUUGCAGCCACAUAGCUAUUUAUGGAUGGUUCCACACGAACCCAAUCAGAAGAACAAUGGAAA